CCUGCCCAACUAGAGGUUUCUUCUAGUUUUUAUAUUUUUAAGACAGUUUAUUAUUAUGUGGCCAAUGAACCAGCAGGUGGCACUACACAACAAUUUUACACAGGCAAAAAUAAGUUCCCUUAGGGCGAAAAAGAUGAUGUUUUCUCAAAUGGGACCUUUGGAAGGAUAUGGACCUGUACAACAUGCACGCCUACCGGGGAAAAAGGACUGAAAAUAGUUGUUCGAAUAGGAUGCCCUUCACCCCGGUGACUCUCCAUACGAAAACGGGGGAUGCAAAAAUGGUGGAAUGUUUUCAGAGGUGGCAAUGUGGUUGGGAGGCAGGGCAGUCUGGGGAAUUUGUUUUCUAGCUGCAUUUGGAUAGAUGACUCUCUUUUUAUCUAUAUACUGUACUGCUUGUUUUGGGAAGUUUUUGAGGGAAGUAGAGAGGGGAGGCAGAUGCAGAUGUUGGGGAGGGCUCUGCCCUAUCCUUUCAUUACUUGAAGUAUGUCUACAGCCCACCAGACUGGUGGCUACUUCCCAUACUCAGUCCAUGCUUUCCACCUCUGAGCUGCUCCCUCCAACAGGUUUAUAUGUCCCCUCAAGGGUGUACCUCCAACCUGUGUGGCAAGGUUCAGGUCGAUCACCAC
rnacentral:lncRNA from 1 species